rnacentral:rRNA from 1 species
GGAGGGUGCAAGCGUUAAUCGGAAUUACUGGGCGUAAAGCGCACGCAGGCGGUCUGUCAAGUCGGAUGUGAAAUCCCCGGGCUUAACCUGGGAACUGCAUUCGAAACUGGCAGGCUAGAGUCUUGUAGAGGGGGGUAGAAUUCCAGGUGUAGCGGUGAAAUGCGUAGAGAUCUGGAGGAAUACCGGUGGCGAAGGCGGCCCCCUGGACAAAGACUGACGCUCAGGUGCGAAAGCGUGGGGAGCAAACAGGAUUAGAUACCCUGGUAGUCCACGCCGUAAACGAUGUCGACUUGGAGGUUGUUCCCUUGAGGAGUGGCUUCCGGAGCUAACGCGUUAAGUCGACCGCCUGGGGAGUACGGCCGCAAGGUUAAAACUCAAAUGAAUUGACGGGGGCCCGCACAAGCGGUGGAGCAUGUGGUUUAAUUCGAUGCAACGCGAAGAACCUUACCUACUCUCGACAUCCACGGAAUUUAGCAGAGAUGCUUUAGUGCCUUCGGGAACCGUGAGACAGGUGC